UAGAGGAAAAGUUAAAUUUUUAGAAAUUGACUAAAUCUACGUAAUAAAUUCUCGUUUUUCGUUCGUUAUUUACAAAUUUUAAGAUGUCAGAUUGAAAACGAAUUUUUUAACCGACUUCGAAUAAGGAGGAGGUUACUCGAUUCGACAUGUAUAUUUUUUUUUUUGUAUGUAUGUCACCUCCUUAUCAAAAUAAAACAUAGCCUAUGUUACUCGGGGAUAGUGUAGGUGUUUAUUACUGAAAAAAUGGUUAAAAUUGGUUCAGUAGUUCCGGAGAUUAGCUCGGUUAAACAGACGGAUAGACAGACAGAUAAAAAUUUUGAAAAGACGUGUUUGGGCUUUAGCAAGGUACGAAAAGUCAUAUAAGAGCUUUAAAAAAGCAUUAUUUCGUGAUUAUAGACACUUUAAUUUUGUUUAUAUAGAUUCAAACUUCUUCGUAACGUUUAAUAACGCAUUGAAAUGUUGAAUAACUUUUGCAUACAAUAUUUCCAAUUUCUCUUAAGGAUUUUCCAUUAUUCCAAUGAAACAUUAGUAAUUUUCUAACUUCUAGACCUGUUUCGGCGCUUUUCCAGUUUAUGAUCGUGAAUUAUUCAAACGAGGUGAUAUAAAUAGUAAGUGAUGUUUAUUGAAUACUUCUCUUUAUUUUUUUUUAAUUAUGUUGCUUAAAGUCGCAUGCUCCAUUAGGGUAUUAGCAACCACAAUUUGUAAGUUACAUAUCGAUUUACAUAAAUAUCAACAUAAUUAUUAUAUACCAUGUUUAACUUAUAAUUUUAGUCAUUGUCCUAUACGAGAUUGAUUAGUCUUAAUCUUUUUAAAAAAGUUGCAGUGGUUUUGCAAGAUUUGACGUCUCCAAGUUGUUGUUGGAUUUGACUGAGUACCGUUGGCGUCGAUUUCGUAUAAACGCGAAUAUCGAGCGUUCCAGCCUAUGGAAUCGAUUGAAACUGCGUUGAACAAUAGAUAAAGUGAUCAUCGUCCGUUAAAAUCAGAUAGUGCGAUAAAAUAGCCGAUUUCGAGGUGUCGAUAACGCAUCAGGGGGCGCUGUGGGCCACGCUGAGAAACAAUGGAUUAGACAGAAAGCGUGUACCAUCCGCGUGGCGAAGCUAUUCGUCGGCGAUUUUCAAAAAGAAGAGAAAAGAAACGAUUGUGGUCGAGAAAUUUUCCAAACCUUUGCCCUCGAAUCUACCGACUGUUGGGCGUUGGAGGUCUGGUUAUCGACCGCAGGAACCUGUCUUUCCACUAUCUGGUUAUUAAACCAGCUACCUUCUCAGCGGCGGAUAAGUUUUAAAUUUCGGCUAAUUAUUUCCUUGGGCGUUCUGCGAGAAAUUCGCUAAUCAUCGAACCCCAGGGAUUUUAUUCAACAGUAGUGUAUAAUUUUAAACGUCAGUUAUAAAUUGAAUGCAAGUUAACAAUUUAAGAUUUUUAAUGGCUUUCUUUGUAUAUAAUCGUAAUUCAUGCUUAUGACAGUCUGACCAAAUUUGUUAUGAGAACGUUUUCUGCUCUAUGAUUUGUGUACUGUUUGCUAUAUAAGGAAAAUAAUAUGCCUGAACAAAAUGUUGGAAAUAAAAAGCAAAAGUACGUAUAUGUAUACAUAUAACAUAUACAUAUAUGAAUGUACAUAUGUUCGGUGUAGAAAUUAAUUGUGCUUAAGGCCAGGUUACGCCAAUACAACGUGUUUUUUUAAAUUUAAAACAUUUAUUCGUAACUUUUUACAUUAAAUUAGCAAACUUUUAAGCUUUCAACCUGAUCUCCAUUAGAAUAAAUCGAAUGUACAUAACUUUGGUUUCAACCUGAUGUUCCGUAGAAUGUAUCUAUAUGUAUGAACAAAGUUCAGAAUGUAACAAAUUUUGUUUAUUGUUGUUUUUCUAACAGAUUACCAGUGUACUUGAUAGUUAUUACCUGUAGAAAUUAAU